rnacentral:lncRNA from 1 species
GAUAAUUACAAUGUCCGUGGGCCCCCAAUCUACGUAUCUAAAACAAGUAUUCAAAAUUUAAAAUAAUAUGGCACCCAAUCCUAUACCUGAAUGGCACUAAUAUUGUGGUGAAAUUGUGGCCCCUAAUCUGCAUCUGAAUUUUCUUUCACUUCAUGAUAGGACUACCCUGGUUAUUUUCAAUCUGUUGACUAAUAGGGUUGAGUUGAGCUAUGCUCAUGAAAACUUUAUUCAUCUGGUCAUUCAGGUU